rnacentral:rRNA from 1 species
CCUACGGGAGGCUGCAGUGGGGAAUAUUGCACAAUGGGCGCAAGCCUGAUGCAGCCAUGCCGCGUGUGUGAAGAAGGCCUUCGGGUUGUAAAGCACUUUCAGCGGGGAAGAAGGCGGUGAGGUUAAUAACCUCAUCGAUUGACGUUACCCGCAGAAGAAGCACCGGCUAACUCCGUGCAAGCAGCCGCGGUAAUACGGAGGGUGCAAGCGUUAAUCGGAAUUACUGGGCGUAAAGCGCACGCAGGCGGUCUGUCAAGUCGGAUGUGAAAUCCCCGGGCUCAACCUGGGAACUGCAUUCGAAACUGGCAGGCUAGAGUCUUGUAGAGGGGGGUAGAAUUCCAGGUGUAGCGGUGAAAUGCGUAGAGAUCUGGAGGAAUACCGGUGGCGAGGGCGGCCCCCUGGACAAAGACUGACGCUCAGGUGCGAAAGCGUGGGGAGCAAACAGGAUUAGAUACCCGAGUAGUC